UUUACAAAGGGAUAAAGGCCAAGUUUGGGCUACUGUGAGAAUAUAAGAACCACCAUGAGCCACAGACACAAGGGAAGUUCACACCGAACCACAGAAUCAUCUCCAUUAGUUUCACUCAGAAACUUUCCCAGGUGCUCAUAGGAAAGAAUGAGGACAAGGCAGGAGACCAAAGAAAGCCUCCCAUCUGGGGAGCAGAAUUCACUCUAAGUAGGCACCAACCUGCCCAAAUCUCUCUCCUCUCCAGAACAAAGCCUUAAACGUCCCUCAGAUGUAAGAAAUAAAGUUUGAUCAACAAGAGAAAGUACAGUGUGAUGGAAAUGUUAAAAAUUACAGUGAUCAGUGAUGCUGAGCAGAAACCCUACAAGCCAGAAGAGACUGGGGUCAAGAUCCACUGGUGGGCCAUUUAUUCUCCAUGGGAGCUAGAGGCCAACUGCUCCUCUGCUGCCUCCAAUCUAGAGCUGCUCCAGAAAGUAUCAGCCCUCCUCCAUUGCCACUGGAUCCCAUUGGGACACCAGGGGACAGAGGGAUGACAGAACAG
rnacentral:lncRNA from 13 species